AUUGAACGCUGGCGGCAUGCCUUACACAUGCACGUCGAACGGCAGCACGGGUGCUUGCACCUGGUGGCGAGUGGCGAACGGGUGAGUAAUACAUCGGAACAUGUCCUGUAGUGGGGGAUAGCCCGGCGAAGGCCGGAUUAAUACCGCAUACGAUCUACGGAUGAAAGCGGGGGACCUUCGGGCCUCGCGCUAUAGGGUUGGCCGAUGGCUGAUUAGCUAGUUGGUGGGGUAAAGGCCUACCAAGGCGACGAUCAGUAGCUGGUCUGAGAGGACGACCAGCCACACUGGGACUGAGACACGGCCCAGACUCCUACGGGAGGCAGCAGUGGGGAAUUUUGGACAAUGGGCGAAAGCCUGAUCCAGCAAUGCCGCGUGUGUGAAGAAGGCCUUCGGGUUGUAAAGCACUUUUGUCCGGAAAGAAAUCCUUGGCCCUAAUACGGUCGGGGGAUGACGGUACCGGAAGAAUAAGCACCGGCUAACUACGUG
rnacentral:rRNA from 1 species